UACGUAGGGUGCGAGCGUUAAUCGGAAUUCCUGGGCGUAAAGCGUGCGCAGGCGGUUCGCUAAGACCGAUGUGAAAUCCCCGGGCUUAACCUGGGAACUGCAUUGGUGACUGGCGGGCUAGAGUGUGGCAGAGGAGAGUGGAAUUCCUGGUGUAGCGGUGAAAUGCGCAGAUAUCAGGAAGAACACCCGUGGCUAAGGCGGCUCUCUAGUACGGUACUGACGCUGAGACGCGAAAGCGUGGGGAGCGAACAGG
rnacentral:rRNA from 1 species